rnacentral:rRNA from 1 species
GGGUUGUGAGGUUAAGCGACUAAGCGUACACGGUGGAUGCCCUGGCAGUCAGAGGCGAUGAAGGACGUGCUAAUCUGCGAAAAGCGCCGGCGAGGUGAUAUGAACCUUUGACCCGGCGAUGUCCGAAUGGGGAAACCCAGUGUGUUCCGACACACUAUCGUUAACUGAAUACAUAGGUUAACGAGGCGAACCGGGGGAACUGAAACAUCUAAGUACCCCGAGGAAAAGAAAUCAACCGAGAUUCCCCCAGUAGCGGCGAGCGAACGGGGAGCAGCCCAGAGUCUGAAUCAGCUUGUGUGUUAGUGGAAGCGUCUGGAAAGUCGCACGGUACAGGGUGACAGUCCCGUACACGAAAAUGCACAGGUUGUGAACUCGAAGAGUAGGGCGGGACACGUGGUAUCCUGUCUGAAUAUGGGGGGACCAUCCUCCAAGGCUAAAUACUCCUGACUGACCGAUAGUGAACCAGUACCGUGAGGGAAAGGCGAAAAGAACCCCGGCGAGGGGAGUGAAAAAGAACCUGAAACCGUGUACGUACAAGCAGUGGGAGCACCUUCGUGGUGUGACUGCGUACCUUUUGUAUAAUGGGUCAGCGACUUAUAUUCUGUAGCAAGGUUAACCGUAUAGGGGAGCCGAAGGGAAACCGAGUCUUAACUGGGCGUUAAGUUGCAGGGUAUAGACCCGAAACCCGGUGAUCUAGCCAUGGGCAGGUUGAAGGUUGGGUAACACUAACUGGAGGACCGAACCGACUAAUGUUGAAAAAUUAGCGGAUGACUUGUGGCUGGGGGUGAAAGGCCAAUCAAACCGGGAGAUAGCUGGUUCUCCCCGAAAGCUAUUUAGGUAGCGCCUCGUGAACUCAUCUUCGGGGGUAGAGCACUGUUUCGGCUAGGGGGCCAUCCCGGCUUACCAACCCGAUGCAAACUACGAAUACCGAAGAAUGUUAUCACGGGAGACACACGGCGGGUGCUAACGUCCGUCGUGAAGAGGGAAACAACCCAGACCGCCAGCUAAGGUCCCAAAGUCAUGGUUAAGUGGGAAACGAUGUGGGAAGGCACAGACAGCCAGGAUGUUGGCUUAGAAGCAGCCAUCAUUUAAAGAAAGCGUAAUAGCUCACUGGUCGAGUCGGCCUGCGCGGAAGAUGUAACGGGGCUAAACCAUGCACCGAAGCUGCGGCAGCGACACUAUGUGUUGUUGGGUAGGGGAGCGUUCUGUAAGCCGUUGAAGGUGUGCUGUGAGGCAUGCUGGAGGUAUCAGAAGUGCGAAUGCUGACAUAAGUAACGAUAAAGCGGGUGAAAAGCCCGCUCGCCGGAAGACCAAGGGUUCCUGUCCAACGUUAAUCGGGGCAGGGUGAGUCGACCCCUAAGGCGAGGCCGAAAGGCGUAGUCGAUGGGAAACAGGUUAAUAUUCCUGUACUUGGUGUUACUGCGAAGGGGGGACGGAGAAGGCUAUGUUAGCCGGGCGACGGUUGUCCCGGUUUAAGCAUGUAGGCGGAGGUUCCAGGUAAAUCCGGUACCUUUUAACGCUGAGGUGUGAUGACGAGGCACUACGGUGCUGAAGUAACAAAUGCCCUGCUUCCAGGAAAAGCCUCUAAGCAUCAGGUAACAUCAAAUCGUACCCCAAACCGACACAGGUGGUCAGGUAGAGAAUACCAAGGCGCUUGAGAGAACUCGGGUGAAGGAACUAGGCAAAAUGGUGCCGUAACUUCGGGAGAAGGCACGCUGAUAUGUAGGUGAAGCCCCUGCGGGUGGAGCUGAAAUCAGUCGAAGAUACCAGCUGGCUGCAACUGUUUAUUAAAAACACAGCACUGUGCAAACACGAAAGUGGACGUAUACGGUGUGACGCCUGCCCGGUGCCGGAAGGUUAAUUGAUGGGGUUAGCGGCAACGCGAAGCUCUUGAUCGAAGCCCCGGUAAACGGCGGCCGUAACUAUAACGGUCCUAAGGUAGCGAAAUUCCUUGUCGGGUAAGUUCCGACCUGCACGAAUGGCGUAAUGAUGGCCAGGCUGUCUCCACCCGAGACUCAGUGAAAUUGAACUCGCUGUGAAGAUGCAGUGUACCCGCGGCAAGACGGAAAGACCCCGUGAACCUUUACUAUAGCUUGACACUGAACACUGGUCCUUGAUGUGUAGGAUAGGUGGGAGGCUUUGAAGCGUGGACGCCAGUCUGCGUGGAGCCGUCCUUGAAAUACCACCCUUUAAUGGCUGGUGUUCUAACGUAGACCCGUAAUCCGGGUUGCGGACAGUGUCUGGUGGGUAGUUUGACUGGGGCGGUCUCCUCCCAAAGAGUAACGGAGGAGCACGAAGGUUAGCUAAUCCUGGUCGGACAUCAGGAGGUUAGUGCAAUGGCAUAAGCUAGCUUGACUGCGAGAGUGACGGCUCGAGCAGGUGCGAAAGCAGGUCAUAGUGAUCCGGUGGUUCUGAAUGGAAGGGCCAUCGCUCAACGGAUAAAAGGUACUCCGGGGAUAACAGGCUGAUACCGCCCAAGAGUUCAUAUCGACGGCGGUGUUUGGCACCUCGAUGUCGGCUCAUCACAUCCUGGGGCUGAAGUAGGUCCCAAGGGUAUGGCUGUUCGCCAUUUAAAGUGGUACGCGAGCUGGGUUUAGAACGUCGUGAGACAGUUCGGUCCCUAUCUGCCGUGGGCGCUGGAGAAUUGAGGGGGGCUGCUCCUAGUACGAGAGGACCGGAGUGGACGCAUCACUGGUGUUCGGGUUGUCAUGCCAAUGGCACUGCCCGGUAGCUAAAUGCGGAAAAGAUAAGUGCUGAAAGCAUCUAAGCACGAAACUUGCCCCGAGAUGAGUUCUCCCUGAGACUUUAAGUCUCCUGAAGGAACGUUGAAGACGACGACGUUGAUAGGUCGGGUGUGUAAGCGCAGCGAUGCGUUGAGCUAACCGAUACUAAUGAACCGUGAGGCUUAACCUUACAACGCCGAAGGUGUUU